rnacentral:ncRNA from 1 species
CCUUAUCAAGAGUGACGGAGGGUACAGGCCCUGUGAAGUCCGGCAACCUGUUUUUUCAAAAAGCAAGGUGCCAAAUCCUGCGGAUUAUCCGAAAGAUGAGG